rnacentral:rRNA from 1 species
CAGCAGCCGCGGUAAUACGGAGGGAGCUAGCGUUGUUCGGAAUUACUGGGCGUAAAGCGCGCGUAGGCGGUUAUUUAAGUCAGGGGUGAAAGCCCGGUGCUCAACACCGGAACAGCCCUUGAGACUGGAUAACUUGAAUCCAGGAGAGGUGAGUGGAAUUCCGAGUGUAGAGGUGAAAUUCGUAGAUAUUCGGAAGAACACCAGUGGCGAAGGCGGCUCACUGGACAAGUAUUGACGCUGAGGUGCGAAAGCGUGGGGAGCAAACAGGAUUAGAUACCCGAGUAGUCCCUGUCUCUUAUAC